rnacentral:rRNA from 1 species
AUGCACGCAAGUGUGAUAGGGGGAUACUCAGUGCUUACGCUUAUGGUGUAGGCUUUUGUCGAUCGUAAAUAGAUCGGCGAAUAAGUGGUGGGUAAGACUGGUGCCAGCCGCCGCGGUAACCCCAGCGCCACAAGUGGUUAUCACGAUUAUUGGGCCUAAAGCGUUCGUAGCUGGUUUGGUAAAUCUCUUGUGAAAUUGUUCGGCUUAACCGGACAGCGUGCAGGAGACACUGCCAGACUCGAGACCGGGAGGGGUUAGAAGUAUUCCAUGGGGACUGGUAAAAUGGGAUAAUCCAUGGAAGACUACCGAUGGCGAAGGCAUCUAACCAGAACGGAUCUGACAGUGAGGAACGAAAGCCAGGGGAGCGAACCGGAUUAGAUACCCGCGUAGUCC